UCCCCAGAUGGAUCAGAUGGAUAAGGUCGCUGACCCACCUGCCAGAGAGACUCCAUACUGUAGCUGUGCAAACAGCGACCCCUGCUGGACAAACGCAAACAUAACGAUCCAAGGAAGAGGAUUAUGAUUAUGACAGGAUCUGAUGAAAACAGUCUGAUCUCUGAGAGCCGCCAUGAAGGAAACAUCUGUCCUGUUCCUGCUCAUUCUGACCUCAGUGCUGUGCUGCACAAAAACACAAGCUGUUCGUCUGACUGUGA